rnacentral:rRNA from 1 species
UACGUAGGGGGCGAGCGUUGUCCGGAUUUAUUGGGCGUAAAGAGCUCGUAGGCGGUUUGGCAAGUCGGGUGUGAAAACUCCGGGCUCAACUCGGAGACGCCACUCGAUACUGCCAUGACUCGAGUCCGGUAGGGGAGUGCGGAAUUCCUGGUGUAGCGGUGGAAUGCGCAGAUAUCAGGAGGAACACCAACGGCGAAGGCAGCUCGCGGGGACGGUACUGACGCUGAGGCGCGAAAGCGUGGGGAGCGAACAGG